rnacentral:lncRNA from 1 species
GGAGUUUCAUGCGAUGGAAGCUGAAGAGGUGCAACUAGAAGAGUUGCAGGACUGUCCUGCGGUCCAAGCUGAGGUGGUUCAGUUGGAGUUCCUUCUGACUGCGCAAGAUUGAUCUGAAGAGGUGUGAUUGGCUCUCCUUUGUUCUGUGCAUGUUCGCAGUCCACCUGUUGGAUGUAACAGUUAGUUUCUUUCAGUUCUGGCUCUUUUUGG